rnacentral:rRNA from 1 species
UGGGGAAUAUUGGACAAUGGGCGAAAGCCUGAUCCAGCCAUGCCGCGUGUGUGAAGAAGGUCUUCGGAUUGUAAAGCACUUUAAGUUGGGAGGAAGGGCAGUUACCUAAUACGUAUCUGUUUUGACGUUACCGACAGAAUAAGCACCGGCUAACUCUGUGCCAGCAGCCGCGGUAAUACAGAGGGUGCAAGCGUUAAUCGGAAUUACUGGGCGUAAAGCGCGUGUAGGUGGUUUGUUAAGUUGGAUGUGAAAUCCCCGGGCUCAACCUGGGAACUGCAUUCAAAACUGACAAGCUAGAGUAUGGUAGAGGGUGGUGGAAUUUCCUGUGUAGCGGUGAAAUGCGUAGAUAUAGGAAGGAACACCAGUGGCGAAGGCGACCACCUGGACUGAUACUGACACUGAGGUGCGAAAGCGUGGGGAGCAAACAGGAUUAGAUGCCCGAGUAGUCCCUGAGCGGGCUGGCAAGGCGCAU